rnacentral:ncRNA from 2 species
CAUUAUCUCAUGGGGUGCUUUAGCAUUUGGUAAAUGUUAGAGCUGAGAAGCAGAUUGUCUGCUAACCCACCGAACCUGAUCCAGAUCAUGCUGGCGUAGGAAUCGAGAUAGCAAGUUGAA